UGAUUGGUACGUCUGUAGGUAGA
rnacentral:miRNA from 1 species